ACCCGCACAAGCGGUGGAUGAUGUGGUUUAAUUCGAUGCAACGCGAAAACCUUACCCACCUUUGACAUGUACGGAACCCUUUAGAGAUAGAGGGUGCUCGAAAGAGAGCCGUAACACAGGUGCUGCAUGGCUGUCGUCAGCUCGUGUCGUGAGAUGUUGGGUUAAGUCCCGCAACGAGCGCAACCCUUGUCAUUAGUUGCUACAUUCAGUUGGGCACUCUAAUGAGACUGCCGGUGACAAGCCGGAGGAAGGUGGGGAUGACGUCAAGUCCUCAUGGCCCUUAUAGGUGGGGCUACACACGUCAUACAAUGGCUGGUACAAAGGGUUGCUAACCCGCGAGGGGGAGCCAAUCCCAUAAAGCCAGUCGUAGUCCGGAUCGUAGUCUGCAACUCGACUACGUGAAGUCGGAAUCGCUAGUAAUCGUGGAUCAGAAUGUCACGGUGAAUACGUUCCCGGGUCUU
rnacentral:rRNA from 1 species